CCUACGGGAGGCAGCAGUGGGGAAUAUUGCACAAUGGGGGAAACCCUGAUCCAGCGACGCCGCGUGAGUGAAGAAGUAUUUCGGUAUGUAAAGCUCUGUCAGCAGGGAAGAAAAUGACGGUACCUGACCAAGAAGCCCCGGCUAACUACGUGCCAGCAGCCGCGGUAAUACGUAGGGGGCAAGCGGUAUCCGGAUUUACUGGGUGUAAAGGGUGCGUAGGCGGCUUGGCAAGUCAGUAGUGAAAUCCAUGGGCUUAACCCAUGAACUGCUAUUGAAACUGUCGAGCUUGAGUGAAGUAGAGGUAGGCGGAAUUCCCGGUGUAGCGGUGAAAUGCGUAGAGAUAGGGAGGAACACCAGUGGCGAAGGCGGCCUACUGGGCAUUAACUGACGCUGAGGCACGAAAGCGUGGGUAGCAAACAGGAUUAGAUACCCUAGUAGUC
rnacentral:rRNA from 1 species